rnacentral:rRNA from 1 species
UACGUAGGUGGCAAGCGUUGUCCGGAUUUACUGGGCGUAAAGAGCUCGUAGGCGGUUUGUCGCGUCUGCUGUGAAAACUCAGGGCUUAACCCUGAGCUUGCAGUGGGUACGGGCAGACUAGAGUGCGGUAGGGGAGACUGGAAUUCCUGGUGUAGCGGUGAAAUGCGCAGAUAUCAGGAGGAACACCGGUGGCGAAGGCGGGUCUCUGGGCCGUAACUGACGCUGAGGAGCGAAAGCAUGGGGAGCGAACAGG